rnacentral:rRNA from 1 species
AUUGAACGCUGGCGGCAUGCCUUACACAUGCAAGUCGAACGGCAGCACGGGUGCUUGCACCUGGUGGCGAGUGGCGAACGGGUGAGUAAUACAUCGGAACACGUCCUGUAGUGGGGGAUAGCCCGGCGAAAGCCGGAUUAAUACCGCAUACGAUCUACGGAUGAAAGCGGGGGACCUUCGGGCCUCGCGCUAUAGGGUUGGCCGAUGGCUGAUUAGCUAGUUGGUGGGGUAAAGGCCUACCAAGGCGACGAUCAGUAGCUGGUCUGAGAGGACGACCAGCCCAACUGGGACUGAGACACGGCCCAGACUCCUACGGGAGGCAGCAAUGGGGAAUUUUGGACCAUGGGCGAAAGCCUGAUCCAGCAAUGCCGCGUGUGUGAAGAAGGCCUUCGGGUUGUAAAGCACUUUUGUCCGGAAAGAAAUCCUUGGCCCUAAUACGGUCGGGGGAUGACGGUACCGGAAGAAUAAGCACCGGCUAACUACGUG